CAAUAACAAAAAUAUGGUCGUCGUGUCAGCCCUGAUCGCGCCUCUUAAUGAUGGAAAAGCACAGCACUGGAAAUGCAUACUGUUUAGCAGAUGUGAGACUAGAGCUAGCCAUCAUAUUAACUUCAAGAUAUGCAAGUUUUGCCAGUUUUAAUUUUGUCGGUAUUGACCUGAGAUUGUCAUCAGCAACAACCUCAGCGUCAUCACUUGGACAAACUGCAUCCCGUUCGAUUGGAGAAACCACCAAUGUCGUUCGAGUUACGGAUCUCUUCUUCCCUUUAUUUCAAUUCCUCGUGUGAUUGUACGAGAGCCGUAUAUUCACGAAGACACCGGACGCCCAUUUUCCUAUCCUGCCUGGGAGUAUUCAGUACUUUUACUGGAGUACUUCACUUUUCUGCAAAUGGAGCACUUGUGGAUGGUUGCCUGGCCGUAUUUCCCAGGCUUAAAGGUAGUUAAAUCAGUCAACCCGCAGGGGAAAGGUCAAGCAGAAACCGGCUACUCUUCUUCUUUCUUGAUCUUUUUCCCAAUUUCGACACACUGCUACUCUCCAAAAUGGGCCAGUUUGCCAAUACGCAGUUGUAACACUACCUCAGAAAUGACCAGCAAGAAAACAAAAACAACCGAGCACUUUUGAAGUUUCUUUAAGCAGAUAACGGCACGUGUAUUGAUCGAAAUUUCGAAAACAAAAAAAGGAGAAAAAAUAACCUGGCCGCCGCGUGUUUUCUGCAAAUUGGACAGAAAACACAGUGGCGUGUCGAUCGACUUUUACACAA